AGCUCAGGACGAACGCUGGCGGCGUGCCUAAUACAUGCAAGUCGUACGCUUCUUUUUCCACCGGAGCUUGCUCCACCGGAAAAAGAAGAGUGGCGAACGGGUGAGUAACACGUGGGUAACCUGCCCAUCAGAAGGGGAUAACACUUGGAAACAGGUGCUAAUACCGUAUAACAAUCGAAACCGCAUGGUUUUGAUUUGAAAGGCGCUUUCGGGUGUCGCUGAUGGAUGGACCCGCGGUGCAUUAGCUAGUUGGUGAGGUAACGGCUCACCAAGGCCACGAUGCAUAGCCGACCUGAGAGGGUGAUCGGCCACAUUGGGACUGAGACACGGCCCAAACUCCUACGGGAGGCAGCAGUAGGGAAUCUUCGGCAAUGGACGAAAGUCUGACCGAGCAACGCCGCGUGAGUGAAGAAGGUUUUCGGAUCGUAAAACUCUGUUGUUAGAGAAGAACAAGGAUGAGAGUAACUGUUCAUCCCUUGACGGUAUCUAACCAGAAAGCCACGGCUAACUACGUGCCAGCAGCCGCGGUAAUACGUAGGUGGCAAGCGUUGUCCGGAUUUAUUGGGCGUAAAGCGAGCGCAGGCGGUUUCUUAAGUCUGAUGUGAAAGCCCCCGGCUCAACCGGGGAGGGUCAUUGGAAACUGGGAGACUUGAGUGCAGAAGAGGAGAGUGGAAUUCCAUGUGUAGCGGUGAAAUGCGUAGAUAUAUGGAGGAACACCAGUGGCGAAGGCGGCUCUCUGGUCUGUAACUGACGCUGAGGCUCGAAAGCGUGGGGAGCAAACAGGAUUAGAUACCCUGGUAGUCCACGCCGUAAACGAUGAGUGCUAAGUGUUGGAGGGUUUCCGCCCUUCAGUGCUGCAGCUAACGCAUUAAGCACUCCGCCUGGGGAGUACGACCGCAAGGUUGAAACUCAAAGGAAUUGACGGGGGCCCGCACAAGCGGUGGAGCAUGUGGUUUAAUUCGAAGCAACGCGAAGAACCUUACCAGGUCUUGACAUCCUUUGACCACUCUAGAGAUAGAGCUUCCCCUUCGGGGGCAAAGUGACAGGUGGUGCAUGGUUGUCGUCAGCUCGUGUCGUGAGAUGUUGGGUUAAGUCCCGCAACGAGCGCAACCCUUAUUGUUAGUUGCCAUCAUUCAGUUGGGCACUCUAGCAAGACUGCCGGUGACAA
rnacentral:rRNA from 1 species